rnacentral:rRNA from 1 species
UACGUAGGGUGCAAGCGUUGUCCGGAAUUAUUGGGCGUAAGGAGCUCGUAGGCGGUCUGUUGCGUCGGCUGUGAAAACCCGGGGCUCAACCCCGGGCCUGCAGCCGAUACGGGCAGACUAGAGUUCGGCAGGGGAGACUGGAAUUCCUGGUGUAGCGGUGAAAUGCGCAGAUAUCAGGAGGAACACCGGUGGCGAAGGCGGUUCUCUGGGAAUGUCCUGACGCUGAGGAGCGAAAGUGUGGGGAGCGAACAGG